rnacentral:rRNA from 1 species
AUCUUGUGGAAAGGACGAAACACCGUGUACGGCGGUCUCUCCCAGUUGUCGGGACCUAAGCCGAGGCCGAAAGGCGUAGGCGAUGGACAACAGGUUGAUAUUCCUGUACCACCUCCUCACCAUUUGAGCAAUGGGGGGACGCAGGAGGAUAGGGUAAGCGCGGUAUUGGAUAUCCGCGUCCAAGCAGUUAGGCUGGGAAAUAGGCAAAUCCGUUUCCCAUAAGGCUGAGCUGUGAUGGCGAGCGAAAUAUAGUAGCGAAGUUCCUGAUACCACACUGCCAAGAAAAGCCUCUAGCGAGGUGAGAGGUGCCCGUACCGCAAACCGACACAGGUAGGCGAGGAGAGAAUCCUAAGGUGAUCGAGAGAACUCUCGUUAAGGAACUCGGCAAAAUGACCCCGUAACUUCGGGAGAAGGGGUGCUCUGUUAGGGUGCAAGCCCGAGAGAGCCGCAGUGAAUAGGCCCAGGCGACUGUUUAGCAAAAACACAGGUCUCUGCGAAGCCGUAAGGCGAAGUAUAGGGGCUGACGCCUGCCCGGUGCUGGAAGGUUAAGAGGAGCGCUUAGCGUAAGCGAAGGUGCGAAUUGAAGCCCCAGUAAACGGCGGCCGUAACAAUAACGGUCCUAAGGUAGCGAAAUUCCUUGUCGGGUAAGUUCCGACCCGCACGAAAGGCGCAACGAUCUGGGCACUGUCUCAACGAGAGACUCGGUGAAAUUAUAGUACCUGUGAAGAUGCAGGUUACCCGCGACAGGACGGAAAGACCCCGUGGAGCUUUACUGCAGCCUGAUAUUGAAUGUUGGUACAGCUUGUACAGGAUAGGUAGGAGCCUUGGAAACCGGAGCGCCAGCUUCGGUGGAGGCAUCGGUGGGAUACUACCCUGGCUGUAUUGACCUUCUAACCCGCCGCCCUUAUCGGGCGGGGAGACAGUGUCAGGUGGGCAGUUUGACUGGGGCGGUCGCCUCCUAAAAGGUAACGGGGGCGCCCAAAGGUUCCCUCAGAAUGGUUGGAAAUCAUUCGCAGAGUGUAAAGGCACAAGGGAGCUUGACUGCGAGACCUACAAGUCGAGCAGGGACGAAAGUCGGGCUUAGUGAUCCGGUGGUUCCGCAUGGAAGGGCCAUCGCUCAACGGAUAAAAGCUACCCCGGGGAUAACAGGCUUAUCUCCCCCAAGAGUCCACAUCGACGGGGAGGUUUGGCACCUCGAUGUCGGCUCAUCGCAUCCUGGGGCUGUAGUCGGUCCCAAGGGUUGGGCUGUUCGCCCAUUAAAGCGGUACGCGAGCUGGGUUCAGAACGUCGUGAGACAGUUUGGUCCCUAUCCGUCGCGGGCGCAGGAAAUUUGAGAGGAGCUGUCCUUAGUACGAGAGGACCGGGAUGGACGCACCGCUGGUGUACCAGUUGUUCUGCCAAGGGCAUCGCUGGGUAGCUAUGUGCGGACGGGAUAAGUGCUGAAAGCAUCUAAGCAUGAAGCCCCCCUCAAGAUGAGAUUUCCCAUUCCGCAAGGAAGUAAGAUCCCUGAAAGAUGAUCAGGUUGAUAGGUCUGAGGUGGAAGUGUGGCGACACAUGGAGCUGACAGAUACUAAUCGAUCGAGGACUUAACC